GACGAACGCUGGCGGCGUGCUUAACACAUGCAAGUCGAGCGGUAAGGCCCUUUCGGGGGUACACGAGCGGCGAACGGGUGAGUAACACGUGGGUGACCUGCCCUCAGCUCUGGGAUAAGCCUGGGAAACCGGGUCUAAUACCGGAUAUGACUCCAUGACGCAUGUUGUGGGGUGGAAAGCCUUGUGCGGCUGAGGAUGGGCCCGCGGCCUAUCAGCUUGUUGGUGGGGUGANGGCCUACCAAGGCGACGACGGGUAGCCGGCCUGAGAGGGCGACCGGCCACACUGGGACUGAGACACGGCCCAGACUCCUACGGGAGGCAGCAGUGGGGAAUCUUGCGCAAUGGGCGAAAGCCUGACGCAGCGACGCCGCGUGAGGGAUGACGGCCUCG
rnacentral:rRNA from 1 species